rnacentral:rRNA from 1 species
UACGUAGGGACCAAGCGUUGUUCGGAUUUACUGGGUGUAAAGGGCGCGUAGGCGGCUUGACAAGUCACUUGUGAAAUCUCCCGGCUUAACUGGGAGGGUGCGGCAAAAACUGGAAUGCUAGAGGAUGGGAGAGGUAAGCGGAAUUCCUGGUGUAGCGGUGAAAUGCGUAGAUAUCAGGAGGAACACCUGUGGUGUAGACAGCUUACUGGACCAUUUCUGACGCUGAGACACGAAAGCGUGGGUAGCAAACAGG